rnacentral:lncRNA from 1 species
UGAUAAUAAAAAAAAAAAAAUGCAUACCCAACAUCUGUAGUUUUUACCUUCCUACAUGUAAGGAUAGUCAAUGGGCCAGGUUGGGCUGGGCUAGUCUAGCCCAAGCCCAGUGGACUUAGGCUAGGUUGUGCUAGACUUUGCUAGUUUAAAAGAAAUAUACGGGCCAAGCUAGGCUGGGUUUUUUCUACAAAAUCAAAGCCCUAACCUAUCCCAUGGGCUAGGCUUUUACGGUCCUCAUCAGGCUGGGCCAAGUAGGCAAAAUAGGCGGGCUGAAAUAGGCUAACAAUGGGGAAAGAUAAUAAGGCCAUAUUUAUCAUUGGGAUGUUGAUCCUAAUGCUGAUUGGAGGCAACUCUAUCCUCACAAAAAGGGGAUGGAAGGAGGGAAUGAGGUUUAGUGUGUUUUUAUUUUAGAAAAACACUAGCCUCCAUUGUAUUUCUAGUGGCUACAUUGAUUACCAGGUUUGUGUUCACUAUCUUUUUAUUUUUUAUUUUUUUAUUUUUAUUUUUAUUUAUAAAUUUAAUGUGGUUAGGGAUAAGAUCAUACCUUUUAAUGUUUAUUUUCUUUCUCAUUUAACACAAUGUUUUUCUUCUUUCAGAACACCAUGGCCCAAAAUGACGUGCUGGCUUGUCAUUCGGAUCAUAGCAUUGAGUGUACAUGAGUAAGUAACUAGUUCGAAAUAAAAAUGAAGCUUAUUGUUG